rnacentral:rRNA from 1 species
AGAACGAACGCUGGCGGCAUGCCUAAUACAUGCAAGUCGAACGAACACUUCGGUGUUAGUGGCGCACGGGUGCGUAACGCGUGGGAAUCUGCCCUUGGGUUCGGAAUAACAGUUGGAAACGACUGCUAAUACCGGAUGAUAUCGAAAGAUCAAAGAUUUAUCGCCCAGGGAUGAGCCCGCGUAGGAUUAGCUAGUUGGUGAGGUAAAGGCUCACCAAGGCGACGAUCCUUAGCUGGUCUGAGAGGAUGAUCAGCCACACUGGGACUGAGACACGGCCCAGACUCCUACGGGAGGCAGCAGUAGGGAAUAUUGGACAAUGGGCGCAAGCC